AGUAGGCCCAGGUGUGGUCUCGGGUGGUGUGGAAGACCCAGGUGUGGUCUCGGGUGGUGUUGAAGGCCCAGGUGUGGUCUUGGGUGAUGUGGAAGGCCCAGGUGUGGUCUCAGAUGGUGUGGAAGGCCCAGGUGUGGUCUCGGGUGGUGUUGAAGGCCCAGGUGUGGUCUUGGGUGGUGUUGAAGGCCCAGGUGUGGUCUCAGGUGGUGUGGCUGGCCCAGGUGUGGUCUUGGGUGGUGUGGAGGGCCCAGGUGUGGUCUCAGGUGGUGUGGCUGGCCCAGGUGUGGUCUUGGGUGGUGUGGCUGGCCCAGGUGUGGUCUUGGGUGGUGUGGCUGGCCCAGGUGUGGUCUCAGGUGGUGUGGAGGGCCCAGGUGUGGUCUUGGGUGGUGUGGAGGGCCCAGGUGUGGUCUUGGGUGGUGUGGCUGGCCCAGGUGUGGUCUCAGGU